UACGUAGGGCGCAAGCGUUAUCCGGAAUUAUUGGGCGUAAAGAGCUCGUAGGCGGUUUGUCGCGUCUGCCGUGAAAGUCCGGGGCUCAACUCCGGAUCUGCGGUGGGUACGGGCAGACUAGAGUGAUGUAGGGGAGACUGGAAUUCCUGGUGUAGCGGUGAAAUGCGCAGAUAUCAGGAGGAACACCAAUGGCGAAGGCAGCACUCUGGGACGUGACUGACGCUGAGACGCGAAAGCGUGGGGAGCGAACAGG
rnacentral:rRNA from 1 species